rnacentral:lncRNA from 1 species
CGGACGUUAAAUCUAAAAUUCAUAAAAAUGGAGAGGGAGCUCAUGUCAAUAUAUGUAUAAUUCACCAAAGUUUCUUGCAAAUUGGUGAAAGUGUUUUUGAGCUAUUGUCCAAAAACUGGAAAAUCCCCGCCUUUUUGUAAUGAAUAAAACCCCAAAUCUCGGAAACAUGAAAAUUUUGAAAUUUAUAAAAAACGAAAAAGAGGUCUCGUCAAUAUAAAUAAACAAUUUACCAAAGUUUCAUGCAAAUUUGUAGAGUUAGUUUAUAAGUUAAUGUCCGACAUGUUCACGACGGACGAACAGACGUACAAACGGUAUACCAUAAUACAUCCC